UAUUUCAAAGAAGAAACAUGUUUCAAAGCCAAUUUUUUACACUUAGGGUUUGUCUGAAUCAUAUCAUCACAGUUCAAAAACUUUUAUUGAUUUUUAAAAAUUUAUCUUUGAAAAAUUUUGAUGGUUGCGGAAAUCUUGUAUUUUUAAAAUCUGAUAGUGAAACAAAGCUGCGUACUUACUCUCGCUCAAGAAUUAUACUUUGUUUUGCUGAAAGAAAAUUCGAUCUAAUCACUUAUGCUAUAGACAAAUUUAUGCUCCGGUCCCUGUCCCGUUCCCGUUCCCGGUCCCUGUCCCUGUCCCGUUCCGGUCCCUGUCCCUAUCCGGUCCGUGUCCCGUUCCGGUCCCUGUCCCGUUUCGGUGAAAGACGAGAGUUGAUUACAAAAUGUGCUUGGAAUUUGCGGGUAAAUAGAAGGUAUGGUCUACUUAUGGUAAAUCAAGUUUAUGUUCAGAAAUACCAAUUCCAAAUAGUGUUAUAUGGGCUUGUUGAACUUUUUUCUUUGGAUUUCUUAUUUCCUUUGGUGGGUGAAUUAUUGUAUCUGGUUAUUAAAAUGCAAUUGAAUUUCUAAAACUGUCUAUUUUAACUUCAAUCAUCUGCUUAAGUAUACUGUCGGAUAUGAAACAUUAUGAUAGUGGGUUAUGCUGUCCUAUUUUAGUUAUUUUUAUUAGUAGAUGCAUAAAUGGUAUUUGUUUGAUCAUUUUUAAUAAAUUCUAAGCAGCCCAUGCUAUAACCAAAUUAAUGCACCAAUCCCUUCCUGCCUUUCCCGUUCACAUGAAACCUCCGUGUUGAAAUUGGUUGGAAACUAAGAGUUACAGUCUAAUAAUUUAAAAAUGAAUUUUUGUGGCCUGAAAAUAUUGUUUUCAAAUAUUUUUAUGUGGUCCCUGUUCCGUAGUCCCUGUUCCGUCCUUUGAAAGUUGAGUGGUGACUGUGAGAUUUGUUUGAAAUUGGCUGGAAAAUUUAAAAGGAUCAUAUUGGCUGCCUUGAUUAUUUUAAUGCCAAUUUUGAUUACCUUUCACGACGGUGAGCAUGUCGUAUGUUAGCCCAAAAUGGCUUAUGCUGCUGCCAAAUUUAUGCUACCGUAAUUCGUAAACAUGUCAUAUGUUAGCCCAAAAUGGCUUAUGCUGCUCUGCCAAAUUUAUGCUACCGAAGUCCCUGUCCCGGUCUCUUGAAAGUUGAGCAUUGAUUGUGUAACGUGAUUGAAUCGGCUGGAAAAUUAUAGAAAAUCACGUUUUUUGGUUGCCUCGAAUAUUUUAAUGCAAUUCUGAUUACGUGUCACGAUGGUGCAUGUCACAUGUUAGUUUAAAGUUGCUUCUGUUGCUACAUGCUUAUGUUUCCAUGGUCCCUGUCCCGGUCCCUUGAAAUAUGAGCGCUUAUUAUGAAAUGUGGAUGGAAUUUGCUGGAAAAUAGAAGGUAUGGUCUAUUUACGGUAAGUCAAGUUUAUGUCCAGAAAUACUAAUUCCAAAUAGUUGGUGGAUUAUGAAACCUGGUUAUUGAAAUGCAGUUAUAUUUGUAAAACUGCAUAUUUUAACUUCAAUCAUCUGCUUAAGUAAUUGCUUUUGUCGGUCAAAUAUUGAACUAUUUGAUAGUAGGUUUUGCUGCAGUUUAUUUGCUUUUAUUAGUAGAUGCAUAUAUAAUAUUUGCUUGAUCACCUUCGCUAAAAUCCUAAGCAGCUUACUCUGUAGCCAAAUUUAACUGUCCGGUUCCGGUCCCUUCCCUAGAAAUCCUGAAUGUUGAAAUUGGUUAAAAAAUAAGAGUUACAUUUGCUGAAAAUAAAUGGUAUAGUCUAAUUAUGGUAAAUCAAUCUUAUGUCCAGAAUUUUCAUUUUCACAUAGUGUUUUGUGGCUUAGUACUUUUUUCUUUGGAUUACUAAAUGAAGUUAUAUUUCUAUAAGUGCAUAUUUUAAGUUCAAUCAUCUGCUUAAGUAAUUUGCUUUUAUCGGUCGGAUAUGGAACAGUAUGAUAAUAGAUUGCAUAAAUGGUAUUUGUUUGAUCAUUUUCACUAAAAUCCCAAGCAGCUUAUGCUAUACGGUCUAUGUCCCGUUCUGGUGAGAGACGAGCGUUGAUUAUGAAAUAUGCUUGGAAUUUGCUGGAAAAUAGAAGGUAUGGUCUAUUUACGGUAAAUCAAGUUUAUGUCCAGAAAUACCAAUUCCAAAUAGUGUUACAUGGGUAUAUUGAACUUUUUUCUUUGGAUUUAUAUUUUCCUUUGGUGGGUGAAUUAUUCUAUCUAGUUAUUAAAAUGCAAUUAAAUCUCUAGAACUGCAUGUUUUAACUUCAAUCAUCUGCUUAAGUAAGCAGUGGGAUAUGGAACAGUAUGGUAGUGGGUUAUGCUGCACAAUUUUAGUUGCUUUUAUUAGUAGACCCAUAAAUGGUAUUUGUUUGAUCAUUUUCACUAAAUUCUAAGCAACUUAUGCUAUAACCAAAAUAAUGCACCGGUCCCUCCCGCUCGUCCCAUUCCCUUGAAAGCCUCCGUGUUGAAAUAAGAGUUACAGUAUAAUAAUGUAAAAAUGAAGUUUUAUAGCUGAAAACAUCGUUUUCAAAUAUUUUUUAUGUGCCUUAUAUAGCUGCCAAAAUUAUUUUAUUUCCAGUUCCUUGAAAGUUGAGUGCUGACUGUGAGAUUUUUUUUGGUUGGAAAAUUAAAAGAGAUCAUAUCGGCUUACUCGAUUAUUUUAAUGCCAAUUUUGAUUACAUUUCACGAUGGUGAACAUGUCGUAUGUUAGCCCAAAGUGGCUUAGGCUGCUGCCCAACUUAUGCUACCGUAGUCCCGUUCCCGGUUCCUUGAAAGUUGAGCACUGAUUGUGGAACGUGGUUGAAUUGGCCGGAAAAUUAUAGAAGAUCACGUUUAUGGCUGUCUCGAAUAUUUUAAUGCCAAUUCUGAUUACGUUUCACGAUGGUGAACAUGUCAUAUGUUAGUCUAAAGUUGCUUAUGUUGUUACAUGUUUCCAUGGUCCCUGUCCCUUGAAAUAUGGGCGUUGAUUCUGAAAUUUGGAUGGAAUUUGCUGGAAAAUAGAAUGUACGGUCUACUUAUGGUAAAUCAAGUUAUAUCCAGAAUUACCAUUUUCAGAAAGUGUUACAUGGGUUUAAGCUAUUUUCUUUGGAUUACUUUUUGCUUUUGUUGGUGGCUUAUUAAACCUGGUUAUUGAAAUGCAGUUAUAUUUGUAAAACUGCAUAUUUUAACUUCAAUCAUCUGCUUAAGUAAUUGCUUUUGUCGAUCAAAUAUCGAACUAUUUGAUAGUAGGUUUUGCUGCAGUUUAUUUUGCUUUUAUUAGAAGAUGAAUAUAUAAUAUUUGAUUGACCACCUUAACUAAAAUCCUAAGCUUCUGUAGCCAAAAUUAUGCAACUGUCUAGUUCCGGCCCCUUUCCCAGAAAUCCUGAAUAUUGAAAUUGGUUGGAAAAUGAGAGCUGCAUUUGCUGGGAAAUAAAUGGUAUAGUCUAAUUAUGGUAAAUCAAGCUUAUGUCCAGAAUUUUCAUUUUCAAAUAGUGUUAUGUGACUUCGUACUUUUCUCUUUGGAUUACUAAAUGAAAUAUUUCUAUAAGUGCUUAUUUUAACUUCAAUCAUCUGCUUAAGUAAAUUUGUUUUUGUCGGUAAAUGAAAUAUUUCUAUAAGUGCUUAUUUUAACUUCAAUCAUCUGCUUAAGUAAAUUUGUUUUUGUCGGUCGAAUAUGGAACAGUAUGAUAAUAGAUGCAUAAAUGGUGUUUGUUUGAUCAUUUUCACUAAAAUCCCAAGCAGCUUAUGCUAUACGGUCCCUGUCCCGCUCCGGUCCCUAUCCCUUUACGGCCCCUGUCCCGCUCCGGUCUCUGUCCCGUUCUGGUGAAAGACGAGCGUUGAUUAUGAAUUAUGCUUGGAAUUUGCUGGAAAAUAGAAGGUAUGGUCUAUUUACGGUAAAUAAAGUUUAUGUCCAGAAAUACCAAAUGGGUUUGUCGAACUGUUUUCUUUGGAUUUCUAUUUUCCUUUGGUGGGUGAAUUAGUAUAUUUGGUUACUAAAAUGCAAUUAAAUCUCUAAAACUGCAUAUGUUAACUUCAAUCAUCUGCUUAAGUAUGCGGUGGGAUAUGGAACAGUAUGAUAGUGGGUUAUACUGCACAAUUUUAGUUGUUUUUAUUAGAUCCAUAAAUGGUAUUUGUUUGAUCAUUUUCACUAAAUUCUAAGCAACUUAUGCUAUAACCAAAUUAAUCCGCCCCGUCCCGUUCCCUUGAAAGCCUCAGUGCUGAAAUAAGAGUAACAGUAUAAUAAUGUAAAAAUGAAGUUUUAUAGCUGAAAAUAUUGUUUUCAAAUAUUGUUAUGUGGCUUAUGCAGCUGCCAAAAUUAUUUUAGUUCCGGUCCCUUGAAAGUUGAGUGCUGAUUGUGAGAUUUGUUUUAAAUCGGCUGGAAAAUUAAAACAUAUCAUAUUGGCUGCCUCGAUUGUUUUAAUGCCAAUUUUGAUUACAUUUCACGAUGGUGAACGUGUCGUAUGUUAGCCCAAUCCUUGGGCUGCUGCCAAACUUAUGCUAUCGUAGUCCCUAUCUCGGUCCGUUGGAAGUUGUUGAGCAUUGAUUGUGAAACGUGGUCGGCCGGAAAAUUAUAGAAAAUCACGUUCUAUGGCUGCCUCGAAUAUUUUAAUGCAAAUUUUGAUUACGUUUCCUGAUGGUGAACAUGUAAUAUGUUAGUCUAAAGUUGCUUAUGUUGCUACAUGUUUAUGUUUCCGGUCCCUUCCCAAGAAAGUUGAAAUUGGUUGGAAAAUAAGAGCUACAUUUGCUGGGAAAUAAAUGGUAUAGUCUAAUUAUGGUAAAUCAAGGUUAUGUCCAUAAUUUUCAUUUUCAAGUGUUAUGUGGCAUAGGACGAUUUUCUUUGGAUUACUAAAUGAAGUUAUAUUUCUAUAAGUGCAUAUUUCAACUUCAAUCAUCGGCUUAAAUAAUUUGCUUUUGUCGGUCUGAUAUGGAACACUAUCAUAAUAGAUGCAUAAAUGGUAUUUAUUUGAUUAUUUUCACUAAAAUCCCAAGCAGCUUAUGCUAUACGGUCCCUGUCCCGUUCUGGUGAAAGACGAGCGUUGAUUAUGAAAUAUGCUUGGAAUUUGCUGGAAAAUAGAAGGUAUGGUCUACUUACGGUCAAUGAAGUUCAUGUCUAGAAGUACCAUUUCCAAAUAGUGUUACAUGGGUUUGUCGAACUUUUUUCUUUGGAUUUCUAUUUUCCUUUGGUGGGUGAAUUACUAUAUCUGGUUAUUAACAUGCAAUUAAAUCUCUAAAACUGCAUAAUUUAACUUCAGUUAUCUGCUUAAGUAGACGGUGGGAUAUGGAACAGUAUGAUAGUGGGUAUGCUGCACAAAUUUAGUUGUUUUUAUUGGUAGAUCCGUGAAUGGUAUUUGUUUGAUCAUUUUCAUUAAAUUCUAGCAGCUUAUGCUACAAAAUUAAUGCACCGGUCCCUUCCGGCACGUCCCGUUCCCUUGAAAGCGGUGUUGAUAUACGAGUUACAGUAUAAUAAUGUAAAAAUGAAGUUUUAUGGCUGAAAAUAUUGUUUUCUAAUAUUUUUAUGUGGUUUAUGCUGCUGCCAAAAUUAUGCUACAGUAUUCCAUGUUCCGGUCCCUUGAAAGUUGAGUGCUGAUUGUGAGAUUUGUUUGAAAUUGGCUGGAAAAUUAAAGAAGAUCAUAUUGGCUGCCUCGAUUAUUUUAAUGCCAAUUUUAAUUACAUUCACGAUGGUGCACAUGUAGUAUGUUAGCCCAAAGUGGCUUAGGUUGCUGCCAAACUUAUGCUAUCGCAGUCCCUGUCCCUGUCCCUUGAAAGUUGAGCAUUGAUUAUGAAACGUGGUUGAAUUGGCCGGAAAAUUAUAGAAAAUCACGUUUUAUGGAUGCCUCGAAUAUUUUAAUGCUAAUUCUGAUUACGUUUCACGAUGGUGAACAUGUCAUAUGUUAGUCUAAAGUUGCUUAUGUUUCCAUGGUCCGUGUCCCUUGAAAUAUGAGCGUUGAUUAUGAAAUGUGGAUGGAAUUUGCUGAAAAAUAGAAUGUACGGUCUAAUUAUGCUAAAUCAAGUUUUAUCCAGAAUUACCAUUUUCAGAAAGUGUUACAUGGGUUUGAGCUUUUUUCUUUGGAUUACUCUUUCCUUUUGUUGGUGGAUUAUUAAACCUGGUUAUUGAAAUGAAGUUACUCUUUCCUUUUGUUGGUGGAUUAUUAAACCUGGUUAUUGAAAUGCAGUUAUAUUUGUAAAACUGCAUAUUUUAACUUCAAUCAUCUGCUUAAGUAAUUGCUUUUGUCGGUCAAAUAUUGAACUAUUUGAUAGUAGGUUUUGCUGCAGUAUAUUUGCUUUUAUUAGUAGAUGUAUAUAUAAUAUUUGCUUGAUCACCUUCGCUAAAAUCCAUAGCAGCUUACUCUGUAGCCAAAUUUAUGCAAUUGUCCAGUUCCGGUCCUUUCCCUAGAAAUCCUGAAUGUUGAAAUUUGUUGGAAAAUAAGAGCUUCGUUUGCUGAGAAAUAAAUGGUAUAGUCUAAUUAUGGUAAAUCAAGCUUAUGUCCAUAAUUUUCAUUUUCAAAUAAGUUAUGUGGCUUAGUACUUUUUUCUUUGAAUUACUAAAUGAAGUUAUAUUUCUAUAAGUGCAUAUUUUAUAGCCAAAUUUAUGCAACUGUCCAGUUCCGGUCCCUUCCCUAGAAAUUGGUUGGAAAAUAAGAGCUACAUUUGCUGGGAAAUAAAUGGUAUUGUCUAAUUAUGGUAAAUCGAGUUUAUCUCUAGAAUAGUGUUAUGUGGCUUAAUACUUUUUUUUUGGAUUGCUGUUUCCUUUUGUUGGUGAAUUAUCAUGCUUAUUAAAAUACAGUUAUAUUUCUAUAAGUGCAUAUUUUACUUCAAUAAUCUGUUUAAAUAAUUUGCUUUUGUCGGUCGGAUAUGAAACAAUAUGAUAAUAGAUGCAUAAAUGGUAUUUGUUUGAUCAUUUUCACUAAAAUCUCAAGCAUCUUAUUCUAUAGCCAAAUUUACGCUCCGGUCCCUGUCCCGUUCCGGACCCUGUCCCGUUCUGGUGAAAGACGAGCGUUGAUUAUGAAAUGUCCUUGGAAUUUGCUGGAAAAUAGAAGAUAUGGUCUACUAAUGAUAAAUCAAGUUUAUGUCUAGGAAUACCAAUUCCAAAUAGUGUUAGAUGGGUUUGUUGAACUUUUUUCUUUGAAUUUCUAUUUUCCCUUUGUGGGUGAAUUAUUAUAUCUGGUUAUUGAAAUGCAAUUAAAUCUCUAAAACUGCAUAUUUUAACUUCAAUCAUCAGUUUAAGUACGUCGGUCGGAUAUGGAACAAUAUGAUAGUGGGUUAUGCUGCAUUAUUUUAGUUGCUUUUAUUAGUAGAUGCAUAAAUGGUAUUUAUUUGAUCUUUUUCACCAAGUUUUAAGUAGCUUAUGUUUUAACCAAAUUUAUGCACCGGUCAGUGUCCUGUUCCGGCCCCCGUCCCUUUCCCUUGAAAGCCUCCAUGUUGAAAUUGGUUGGAAACUAAGAGAUACAGUUUAAUAAUGUUUUUUGGCCAAAAAAUGUUGUUUUCAAAUAUUUUUAUGUGGCUUAUGUUGCUGCCAAAAUUAUGCUACCGUAGUCCUUGUUCCGGUCUCUUGAAAGUUGAGUGUUGAUUGUGAGAUUUGGUCUAAAUUUGCUGGAAAAUUAUCAAAAAUCAUAUUGGUUGCCUAAUUAUUUUAAUGCCAAUUUUGAUUACAUGUCGUAUGUUAGUCCGAAGUUGCUUAUGAUGCUACAAAAUAUGUUUCCGUGGUCCUUCCUCGAUUCCUUGAAAGACGAGUGUUGACUAUGAAAUGUGGUUGGAAUUUGCUGGAAAAUAAAAGGUACAGUUUAAUUGUGGGAAAUCAAGUUUAUGUCCAGAAUUACCAAUUUCAAAUAAUGUUGUGGGUUUGAA